UACAGAGGUGCUCAAGCGUUGUUCGGAUUCAUUGGGCGUAAAGGGUGCGUAGGCGGGUCUUUAAGUCGAGGGGUGAAAUCCUAGGAGCUCAACUCCCAGAACUGCCUUUUGAUACUGAAGGAUCUUGAGUUCGGGAGAGGUGAGUGAACUGCGAGUGUAGAGGUGAAAUUCGUAGAUAUUCGCAAGAACACCAGUGGCGAAGGCGGCUCACUGGCCCGAUACUGACGCUGAGGCACGAAAGCGUGGGGAGCAACAGG
rnacentral:rRNA from 1 species